CCCGGCCGCGCCGCCCAAGCCGCCCGCCCGCCCGCGAUAUUCAUACUGCUCGCGAUUUUGUUUCUUAUUUUGUUGCAGUUUUGAUUCAUCGCCUGAGCACUCGGACAUUGCAUCGAUUGAUUUUACCUCGUAACAUACUUUGUUUUGUUUAUGUUUUAUGAUGAAUGGUUGUACGUUUGCGUUUCCGCGCUCUCUUUACAACGGUCCGGCUGGAUACCGGUUGUCAACAAACCUGAAUUGACACAUCACAUGUUUUAUGUCUUUUAAAACUUGUUGAGUGUGAAUAUCGUGUACAUAGUUACCACAGUAUUGUUGUUGUGUGUUGUGUGGUUUUAUCUAUGCUGAACGUGUAGAAGUAGGUAUUAUAAAAUAAAUCCAAUCAGGUGUCUACGGAAAAAUUAUAUUAGUUAAAAAUGUUUUCAUUCAGACUUGUCGUGUAAACGCAAAAUAGAUCAAAUAAUACUAGACACGAUCCAAAUUCCAAUCAACUUUUUCUGAUACUUACCAGAUAGUAUUUUAACCGGAUAUUAAUUCGCCAAAAAGAUCAUGCUUAUCAUUUAAGUCGUUUUUAACAAUUUAUGAGGUUUUCUACAAGUUUAGACUUUUUAGAUGGACUCUUUAAAAGUAAUUGGCACAUAUGAACAUCGGAUGUUUAAUUAAUAUUUUUAUCAUUGCAUCAUUGAAUAUACCAAGGAAGACAUUUUUUUAUACCAGGGCCCUAAAUCCGGAAUUCACAAUGGCUGAUUCGUAUUCUUCUAAGCAUUUUGGCUACUCAUACGAAUACAAAAAGUACCUAUCAUUUUUGUCAAAUUUCCAUUAAUCGGCCAUUGUAAAUACCGGCAUUCGGACCCAGUGCUAGUGUGCAGGUACUGGUGUGACCAUGGAACAUUUCUAGUAUGUUUACAAGUACGGUGUUAGAUCCGGGACCUGUUCACAAAUCUUUAUCAACACUCAAUGUUUGCUCCUUAUCAGUUUACGCUGAAACGUGACACUCCACAAUUUGGACUUCAAUAAUAAUUUCUACGAAGCAUUCGCUGUAAAUAGAACAUCCAUCAAAAAAUCCUAGAAGAGCGGUGAGAGCGUCAAACUUUGCACAAAUAGGUCCUCUUAUCGUUCACUGAUAAACCUCUUUGCUUCAAAUUUCAACAUUUUUUUUUGUAAAAAUAAAAAUCAUUAAAAGUCGUUGACUUUUGUCAAUCCAUUUUUUAUUGGUAAGAUUUGGAAUAUUUGAUUUUUGAUCAUUGCGAUGGGUUAAAUAGCAGCAUAGAAUUUUAAAAUAAGAAAAUGUAUUAGUUUAACUGUUUUGGCUCCUUUUAAUUAUUAGUAGGUAUUGUGAAACAGGACAGUGAUUUUCUACCGUCAUGGCUGCUGCAUGUUCCAGAAGCUAGUUCCAAUACUUUUCACCUACGCAGUACCAUAAUAGUCCUAUUUUUAGAACCAAAAAAUCCAAAUGAAGUAUAAGACAUUCCUUACUAUAAUAUUUGCUUUGCUGCCGCGCGCGGCGUUGGCGUGCAAAAUACUGUUUGAUUAAAUAUUGUAUAAAGAAGUUUUAUAUGAAAUUUGAGUCCACAAAGCAGACUCACACAGGAGAACGAUAAACGUGUGCUUCUUGUUAUUUGUCAAAUCAUUUUGUCACCAAGAACUAGUAGAUAGAUUAAAAAAAAUAAGACGAGCAAACUUCUUUGACAACGAAGUUACUUUUUUAUUCUCCAUCAGACAUCUACGGAUGAGCCAGGGUGAGCAUAUCAUACCCAAGUUCGUGUUGAAGUUUGAAGACUGCCAUUGCCACAGUAUAGGCUUCACGUCUGAGUUGGACAGGGGAUCUUGACAGUUUGAGCCAUGUGCUGCCAGAUCUAUCUUUCCAGCUCACGCGUGGAGCCGCCUCAUCGCAUCAUCAGCCGCUGACUCCAGCACCAGCGCCGGCCACCGGCUCCAGUCUUGUCUCCUGCCAAUAAAGAAA